rnacentral:rRNA from 1 species
AUACGUAGGGAGCGAGCGUUGUCCGGAAUUACUGGGCGUAAAGGGCGCGUAGGCGGCGCUUCAAGUCGUCUGUCAAAUGGGAGGGCUUAACCCUUUUUCGCAGACGAAACUGGAGAGCUUGAGAAGCAGAGAGGCAAACAGAAUUCCUGGUGUAGCGGUGAAAUGCGUAGAUAUCAGGAAGAAUACCAGUGGCGAAGGCGGUUUGCUGGCUGCAUACUGACGCUGAAGCGCGAAAGCCAGGGGAGCAAACGGGAUUAGAUACCCCGGUAGUCCAGGCAGUAAACGAUGUAUGCUGGGUGUGAGACUAGCGAUAGUUUCGUGCCGAAGUUAACGCGAUAAGCAUACCGCCUGGGGAGUACGGUCGCAAGAUUGAAACUCAAAGGAAUUGACGGGG